UAAGGAAUAUUGGACAAUGGAGGCAACUCUGAUCCAGCCAUGCCGCGUGAAGGAAUAAGGCCCUAUGGGUUGUAAACUUCUUUUAGACGGGACAAAACCCCUUUACGUGUAAAGGGUUGAUGGUACUGUCAGAAUAAGCAUCGGCUAACUUCGUGCCAGCAGCCGCGGUAAUACGAAGGAUGCAAGCGUUAUCCGGAAUUAUUGGGUUUAAAGGGUGCGUAGGCGGACUAAUAAGUCAGUGGUGAAAGCCUGCAGCUUAACUGCAGAAUUGCCAUUGAUACUGUUAGUCUUGAGUACAGUUGAGGUAGGCGGAAUGUGUCAUGUAGCGGUGAAAUGCUUAAAUAUGACACAGAACACCGAUUGCGAAGGCAGCUUGCUAAGCUGUAACUGACGCUGAGGCACGAAAGCGUGGGGAGCAAACA
rnacentral:rRNA from 1 species